rnacentral:lncRNA from 1 species
CACAACUCAACACUUAGUUCUUUCCAAAUAACACCACUGGUCCAAGUCCCUUACACCCUGUUAUAACUGUUAGGAUCGGAAUUAAAUAAUCAAGUGUCAUAUUGAAACUAGCAAAACAAACCUUGAAAGACGCCAAAUAAGAAGACAUGCGAGAAUGCAUCAAAAGAGGCACAAUAAUUUAACGUGGUUCGGUCAAUCCACUAUACAAAAAGAGAGUACAAAAUUUUGAGAAAGCCCACCUCACAAAAUAGCAUCACAACACUUCUGUCUCACAAAUUCUCCCCCAACAAUACUCUCAAAGCCCUUAUGACUAUAUUGUAGAUGCUACCAAGCUAGAAGAGGGGGCCUAGUUCAUAAAUUUUUUCUACAAGAACAAGAAUUAGCCAAAUAGAAAGAAUUUAUAUUUUUCUUUUUCCUAAACGAAAAUUCAAUUAUGUUAAGAAAAAAGGUAAGGAGAAUGACGAUUCCAUGCCUUAAGGAUGACUAAAGCUUCCCUCUUUCCUGGUCUCUAUUAUCCCAAAAAUUCCUUUUCAUUGCUCUCAUCAGUGCAUCAAGUCGGAUAGUGUUUUCUGCCCCUCCUUAGCGACUUUGGUCAAGGAAAGGGAAUAGGACAAUAAAUAGGCUUCCACUUAGAAUUACACCUUUUGUAGAUGAAAUUUUAACUUCUCGAUAGGCCUAAGAAAGCCUAGAUCAUUAGACAAAUAAGUUGAUAUUCAAUUUGACUAAACAUUUGGGCCAAAACGCGAAAAAGGAAACAGGAAUUUCC